GACGGGUGAGUAACACGUGAGAAUUUGCCUUUAGGAGGGGGACAACAAUUGAAACGAAUGCUAAUACCCCAUAUGCUUUCGAGUGAAAUGGAUUUAUAUUUAUCCGCCUAGAGAGAAGCUCGCGGCUGAUUAGCUUGUUGGUAAGGUAAGAGCUUACUG
rnacentral:rRNA from 15 species